GCAUGGGUUUGGAUUUAUGGCAGGCCUGUCCCCAUAGGCCUCUCAUAGUGUCCCAUGCUAGAGCAAACUGUAGCCCUGAACCAUGGCCUGGCCUCCCUGACCAUGGACUGCAGACCCUGAAGUGGGUUGCACAGUG
rnacentral:snoRNA from 1 species